GGGUAGUUAAUUUCGGGAAUCUGGCAUUAAAUUGUCAAGUGUUAAAAAUAUGAACGCUGAUUCUUGAGGAAGGUCCGCCCACCAUAAAAAGCCACGAGGGAAAUCCUCGCUCGCAGUGAUGUGGGAGCUCUGGUACAGAAACGACACAGCUUGUGUUUAGCAAUGAAACUUUGGGUGAAGCUAGAAUAAUGCAAGAUUUGAUGAAACGAGCAUCUUGGCUGGUGCAAGGGGAAAACUCCGCUUAGUUGAAUAUUAACACAUUUGGUUUGAAUACAACAAAUGACAGAAGGUGGCCUAUUCCC
rnacentral:RNase_P_RNA from 1 species